UGGCGGUGCAGUGCGCAGACAUGUGCGUGCCAGGUGGGCACAUGGUGCAGAGGAGGGUCUCCCCGGAAUGCGGAUCGUGGCGCUCAUAGGUGGGAUCAGACUCACAAAGGGAGACGGCAGUGAAGAGAAGCAGCGCAGAGCAUGAGGCUACUACCAUCACAUAGUGAUUCUGUUGUAACCAUAAUCUUGACCUGCCUCCCAGACGACCUAUUAAUGAUCACGAAGACAGCAGAUAACAUCACAGCAACGGUAUAUAAUUGCUACGGUCUCCAACCAUGACCAAACCUUUAAAGACUGUUGUCAUCCUUACCAGUUGCCCUCCUGUAAAGACCAAAAGCUGGCUACACUACCUACUUGGCAAUUACACAUAGCAGGCCUCCACCAGCUGGUUGGGUUUUGUUUGCACUCGACAACACUCCACACACAUCCAUACAUCGCUUCACAACUGAUCUUACAGACAUACAUAAAUAUGAUUUUCUUAACUCUAAUUGUAAUAAAUUAACU